GCCCACCAGAGAAGCAAAAUGGAGGAGUUUUCCAUCAUGUGACUACGCCGCUGUUGAAUAAGUGUACCCAAGGAAUUUAAGUUUCAUAUGAAGAGUAACGUACUGCAGCUAAAGCUAGGACAUCCAUCUUCUUCAGUUGGCACUUCAGAUAAUCUUUGACCUGUGUAUAAGGCGCAAACGGGGAGACUGCGGUUUCUGUUAGAAAAAGCGAGACACACCAAUCCUCGGCAGGCCAGAUUAAAAAGACCAACAAGCCGGACGUGGCCCGCGGGCCGUUUGCCCACCCCUGCUCUAUGCACACUAUUAGCUUACAGGAGGCUUUGGUUGGUAGUACCUUUUGUUUUUAUACUUUCCACCAAAAAAAAAACCACCUGCUUUGGGGACACUGGGAGCAACAUCCAAGAGGUUGGUGAGCAACAUGUUGCUCAAGAGCCCCUGGUUGGGGAUCAUUGCUUUAAUACAACCCUAUGCCCAAAGAAGUUGGGACACUGUGAAAUAUAAAAAAAAGAAAAUGAGAUAAUGUACAAAUCUUUGAAACCCUAUACACUGUAUUUAAUUGCUAAUAGUACAAAGGCAACAUAUUAAAUGUUGAAAUUGAAAAAUGUUAUUGUUUUGAUGCCAGCAGCAGCCAGCAGUUUUGAAUUGGAUGCCAGCAGCACGUUUCAAAAAAAGUUGGGACAGUGUCAUGUUUUCCAUUUCCUCUUCUUUUAACAACACUAUGUAAUCAUUUAGAAACUGUGGAGCUCAAUUGCUGUAGUUUUGAAAGUGAAAUAUCGACCCCUUCUUGCCUGAUAUAGGAUUUUAGGUGCUCAACUGUUUGAGGUCUCCUUUGUUGUAUUUUUCAUUUCAUAAUGUGCCAAAUUUUUCAGUGGGUGACAGGUCUGGAAUGCAGGGGGGCAGUUUAGGACAGAGCCAUGCAGGUGCAAUAGAAUACAUAAUGUGGUUUGGCAUUGACUUUAUAAAAUAAGCAAGGCUUUCCCUGAAAAAUGCUGUCUGGGUGGCAGCAUAUGGUCCUCUAAACAUGUAUAUAUCUUUCAGCAUUAAUGAUACCUUCCAGAUGUGCAAGCUACCUUGUGAACUAAUGUACCCCCAUACCAUCAUGGAUGCUGGAUUUUAAACUGGGUGCUAAUAACAAGCUGAAUGAUCCUUCCUGUCUUGAGCCUGGAAGAUGUAAUGUCCAUGAUUUAAAAUGAUUAAAUGGUCAGUAGUGAUGAGUGAAAAUAUUUGUCAGAUUUCCCUGCAUAAAAACACCAAUAGACUCAAAUGGCCACAAAAAAAGUUACACAGUAAAAAAAGUUGCGAUGUAUAGGCAAAAAAAUUCUCUAUGCGUUUUGCAUAUUUUUACCGAUUCACAAUCAAUUUUUUCUGGCAAAGCAGGACAUAUUCUCUCAUCACUAUUAAUCAGACCACAGGACAUUUUUCCACAUGGCCUCAGUCUAUCUUACUGUAAAUGAGCCUGGCCCAGAGAAGGCAGCAGUGUUGUUGGGUGUUUAUAUAUGGUUUCCACCUGGUAAAGUUUUAACUUGCAUUUGUGGAUGCAGCGACAAAAUGUGUUCGCGGACAAUGGUUUUUGGAAGUAUUCCUGAGCACAUGCAGUGAUUUCUACUACAGAAUCAUGUCUGUUUCUAAUGCAGUUACACCUAAAGAAGAUUAGCUUUCAGCCUAUUAUUAUAUUAUUCUUUGCAAUUUUACAUUGAAAAACAUUCUUCUUAAAUUGUUGCAAUGUUUUCACAGAGUGAUGUUCCCCUCCCCAACUUUACUUCUAAAAGACUCAGUCUCUCUGGGAUUUCCUCUUUUUAUACCAAAUCAUGUUAAUAAUCUGUUGCCAAUUGGUGGGAUGUUCCACCAGGUGUUUUUUUUUUUGUUUUUUUUUUUGCAUUACACAACUUUUUUAGUUUUUGUUGGCCCUGUCCUAACCUU